rnacentral:lncRNA from 1 species
UAAAAAUGUGUUUUCGUAUAGUAAUGGAUCCCGAUCGAGCCGUAGCCGAUGAUGUUGAGAGUAUAGCGCCUGCUCCCGCACAAGGGACAGAGCCGGUAGAUUCUCGACCGACCUCGAGUAACCAGGAGGGAGAGGCUAAACAAGCCUUCUACCAAAUGAUGAAUGACUGGUUUACUCAUUAUGUCCGAACUAAUCCGGUUACACAACAACCUCCACCCCCGACUAAUCCAUCUUCGAUUCCUGUUAUACCCCAAGUAAGUGAUCCGAUGAGAUUACUUAAGCCUCCGGUUGACAAAAUUCGAAAACACGGGGCCGAAGAGUUCAGAGCUACUGAUGAUGAUGAUGCUGAGCGAGCUGAAUUCUGGCUUGAUAAUACUAUUCGAGUGUUUGAUGAGUUGUCUUGCACCCCUGAUGAGUGCUUGAAAUGUGCCAUAUCCUUGCUACGGGACACUGCAUAUCACUGGUGGAAUACACUAGCAUCGGUGGUUCCGAAAGAGCGAGUGACCUGGGAAUUCUUUCAGACUGAGUUUCGUAAGAAAUACAUCAGCCAGAGAUUUAUUGAUCAGAAACGUAAGGAAUUUCUUGAACUGAAACAGGGUCGUAUGACAGUGACAGAAUAUGAACGGAAAUUUGUGAGACUUAGUAGAUAUGCUCGAGAGUGUGUUUCAACUGAAGCUAUCAUGUGUAGAAGAUUUGAAGAUGGGCUGAACGAAGAUAUUAAACUGUUAGUUGGUAUACUUGAGAUAAAAGAGUUCGUAGUACUUGUUGAACGAGCUUGUAAAGCUGAGGAGCUCGGGAAAGAGAAGAGGAAAGCUGACUAUGAAGCUCGAGAUUCUCGUAAAAGAUCAUUCAGUAAAUCAUUUCAGUCGACCUCAAGGAAAUUCAGAGCGGAUCAUAGCCAAUCUAAAGCUACUGCAGGGUUUCCUAAGUAUGAUCGAGAUCGACCCCCUGUGAGUUCACGAGCUACUUCAGUUGCUAGCGUUGGUAGUGUUCGACAAAAUAGAUCAGAGUGCAAGCAUUGUGGGAAAUGGCAUCCUGAGGAUUGCAGAUUCCAUGAUCGGUCUUGCUUCAAGUGUGGUUCAAAAGAUCAUUUCAUUCGAGAGUGUCCGAUGGUAGCUGAGCAAAACACUGUGCAGGAUACCAGACCGAGUAAUGUGCCAGUCCGAGGUAGACCGCCGAGACAAUUGAGUAAUGUAAGUGGUAGUCAGAGAGGAACCAGGGACACAGCAAUUCGAUCUGAGGCCCGUGCACCUGCCAGAGCUUAUGCCAUCCGUGCUCGAGAGGAGGCUUCUUCUCCAGAUGUUAUUACUGGUACUUUCACUCUUUAUGAUACUAAUGUUAUUGCAUUGAUUGAUCCUGGUUCGACUCAUUCUUAUGUGUGUGAGACUUUAGUAUUCAGUAAGACUUUGCCUGUUGAGUCUACUGAGUUUGUAAUUAAAGUAUCGAACCCCCUGGGCCGGUGUGUUUUGGUUGACAAAGUGUGCAAGAAUUGUCCGUUGAUGAUUCGAGAUUUAUGUUUUCCAGCUGAUUUGAUGUUGUUACCAUUCGACGAGUUCGAUAUAAUUCUGGGUAUGGAUUGGUUAACUCUGCAUGAUGCUAUUGUAAACUGCAAACGGAAAACUAUUGAUUUACGGUGUCAGAAUGAUGAGAUUAUUCGGAUCGAAUCUAAUGAUCUUAAUGGUUUAUCAGCAAUAAUAUCCUCGAUGUCGGCUCAGAAGUAUGUGAGAAGGGGUUGUGAAGCUUACCUUGCAUUUGUUCUUGAAAGUAAAGUGACCGAAAAGAAGAUUGAAUCUGUACCAGUAGUGUGUGAGUAUUCAGACGUGUUUCCCGAAGAAUUACUGGGUUUGCCACCUAUUCGAGAGGUAGAGUUUGGUAUUGAGUUAGUACCAGGGACGACUCCCAUAUCGAUAGCUCCGUACCGUAUGGCACCGACCGAAUUAAAAGAAUUGAAAGUACAGUUGCAAGAGCUGACUGAUAAAGGUUUUGCACGACCGAGUUUCUCUCCUUGGGGUGCACCAGUUCUAUUUGUGAGAAAGAAAGACGGAACGAUGAGAAUGUGCAUUGAUUACCGGCAACUCAAUAAAGUGACUAUAAAGAAUAAGUAUCCGUUACCACGGAUUGAUGAUUUGUUCGAUCAGUUGAAAGGGGCUACUGUGUUUUCAAAGAUAGAUCUGAGAUCAGGCUACUAUCAGUUGCGAGUUAAAGACUCUGAUGUGCCAAAGACUGCUUUCCGAACGAGGUACGGACAUUAUGAGUUUCUUGUUAUACCUUUCGGACUUACUAAUGCACCUGCUAUUUUCAUGGAUUUGAUGAAUCGGAUCUUUAGGAAGUGUCUGGAUCGGUUUGUGGUAGUAUUUAUUGAUGACAUUUUGAUCUACUCUCGAGACGAAAAUGAGCAUGCUGAACAUCUGAGACUUGUGUUACAAACUUUGCGAGAUAAGCAGUUGUAUGCAAAGUUUAGUAAAUGUGAGUUCUGGUUACGUGAAGUCAGUUUUCUGGGCCAUGUUGUAUCAGCAUCGGGUAUUUCGGUUGAUCCGAGUAAAAUUUCAGCUAUACUUGAUUGGAAACCUCCGAGGAAUGUUUCGGAAGUUCGAAGCUUUCUGGGGCUCGCUGGCUAUUAUAGACGUUUUGUGAAAGGGUUCUCUAUGACUGCGACCCCGAUGACAAGGCUACUACAAAAAGACGUUAAGUUUGAGUGGUCAGAAAAGUGCCAGAAAAGUUUCGAUCAGUUGAAAGCUCUUUUAACCAAAGCUCCAGUCCUAGUUCAACCCGAAUCGGGUAAAGAGUUUAUUAUCUAUAGUGAUGCAUCUUUAAAUGGUUUGGGCUGUGUAUUGAUGCAGGAAGGCAAAGUUGUAGCCUAUGCCUCGAGACAGUUAAAGCCGCAUGAAAAGAACUAUCCGACGCAUGAUCUGGAAUUGGCCGCUAUUGUAUUUGCGUUAAAAAUAUGGCGUCACUAUCUGUUUGGCGAAAGAUGUCAUGUUUAUUCCGAUCAUAAAAGCUUGAAAUAUUUGAUGACUCAGAAAGAUCUGAAUUUGAGACAGCGUCGAUGGUUAGAAUUGUUGAAAGAUUACGAGCUCGUGAUUAACUAUCAUCCGGGAAAGGCUAAUGUUGUUGCUGAUGCCCUAAGUCAAAAAUCACUGUUUGCUUUGCGUGCAAUGAAUGCACAUAUGGUUAUGUCUGAUGAUGGUGCGAUAGUAGCUGAGUUGAAAGCAAAACCGUUAUUUAUUCAACAGAUUUGUGAAGCUCAAAAAGCCGAUGAUGAUUUAAUUGCAAAACGAACUCAGUGUGACUUAAAUGUUGAUUCAGAGUUUCUAGUUGAUACUGAGGACUGUUUGAGAUUCAGAAACCGAUUAUGUGUUCCGAAAAAUCCAGAGUUAAUUCAGAUGAUUUUGAAUGAAGCCCAUAAUAGUCGAUUUUCUAUUCAUCCGGGUAGCACGAAAAUGUAUAAUGAUCUGAAACAACACUAUUGGUGGCAUGGAAUGAAACGAGACAUUUCUGACUUUGUUUCGAAAUGUUUAAUAUGUCAGCAAGUAAAACCCAAGCAUCAGGUACCUUCUGGAUUGCUGCAGCCGAUCAUGAUACCUGAAUGGAAAUGGGACAGAGUUACGAUGGAUUUUGUAUCUGGUUUACCGUUAACACCCAGCAAGAAAGAUGCAAUUUGGGUUGUUGUUGAUAGAUUGACAAAAUCGGCUCACUUUAUUCCGGUUCGUAUUGAUUAUUCGCUUGAUAAACUUGCUGAAUUGUACAUUUCUCAGAUUGUAAAAUUGCACGGAGUGCCUAUUUCUAUUAUUUCGGACAGAGACCCGAGAUUUACAUCGCGGUUUUGGAAGAAAUUACAAGAUGCAUUAGGUACGAAACUACAUUUUAGCACAGCUUUCCAUCCGCAAACAGAUGGUCAAUCGGAGCGAAUUAUACAGAUACUUGAGGACAUGUUGAGAUGUUGCAUUCUCGAGUUUGAAGGUACGUGGGAACGAUAUUUACCUUUGAUUGAAUUUGCUUAUAAUAACAGCUUUCAAUCUAGUAUUAAAAUGGCACCUUAUGAGGCUUUGUACGGUCGUAAAUGUCGUACACCACUGUAUUGGACCGAGCUCAGUGAAAAUAGGAUACACGGGGUUGAUUUGAUUAAAGAGACCGAACAGAAAGUGAAAGUGAUUCGGGACAGCCUGAAAUCAGCAUCAGAUCGUCAGAAAUCUUAUGCGGAUUUGAGAAGAAAAGAUAUAGAAUUUUAGAUCGGCGAUAAAGUGUUUUUGAAAGUCUCACCGUGGAAGAAAGUACUCAGAUUCGGUCGUAAAGGCAAAUUGAGUCCAAGAUUCAUUGGACCGUAUGAGAUUAUAGAACGUGUCGGACCGGUUGCUUAUAGAUUGAUGUUACCACCUGAGUUAGAAAAGAUUCACAAUGUAUUUCAUGUUUCGAUGCUCCGUAGAUACCGAUCUGAUCCUUCACAUGUGAUUUGUCCGACGGAGAUUGAAAUUAACCCUGAUAUGUCAUAUGAAGAAGAACCGAUUAGCAUUCUGGCUCGUGAGAUCAAGGAAUUACGAAAUAAGAAAAUUCCGUUAGUUAAAGUAUUGUGGCAUAAACACGGAGUUGAAGAAGCAACUUGGGAGUCAGAGGAUACAAUGAAGGAGCGUUAUCCAAACCUAUUCACCGGUAAGAUUUUCGGGGACGAAAAUCCCUAAGGGGGGAGAGUUGUAACAACCCGGUUUUGACCCUAAUCAGAAUAGUGGUUUCAGGACCACAAAUCUGAAUUAGAAAAAUAUUAUUAAUAUUAUUUUGUGUGUUUAUUUCGUGUGCAUUUGAUUGUGUAAAAUUUUCGUGUUUUAAUUUCGUCGUUUAAGUGUCCGAUUUAAUAAAAGGGUUUAAUCGCAUAAAAUAAAAGUUAAAGGUUAAAAUUUAAAAGCACCUAUUUGUAGUUGUCUUUUUAAGUGGGAGGUCUAAAGAUGUAAUUAGACCAAGAUUUAGUUAGUGGGUGGUAUAUGCCAACAUUGCCCUUAAGUUAUGUAAUUUAUAAUUUAUUUAAUUAAGGUUAAUUUAGUCAUUAAGUAAAUUAUAAUAUUAUAACUAAAAUAAGUCAUAAAAAGAUGAAUAUGUUCAUCUUUGUUAGCCAAAUAUUGGAAAGGAAGAAACCAUUCAUGGUUUCUUAAGUUUCGGCACUUUCAUAGCAAAAUUAAGGUAUGCUUUGGUUUCGGUUUUUGAUAAUUUUUACGUUUUUGAGAUCGUUGCUUUGAAUACUACCCGACCCAUGCUUGAAUUUCUAAUUUUAAUGAAUAUUUUGAGUUAUGCCAUUGAUGAAUAUUUGUGUUUUGUGAUGUUUGAUGAUGAAUAAUGGAAGAUAUGUCUUAGAUUAACAUGUUUUGUCUUGGGAUUUUUGAUGAAUUUGAGUAUUUAGGGCUAAAUUGUGAAAAUAAAUUUUUGAGGGACUAAAAUGUGAAAUAAAUGCAAUGUGUGGACUUGUAUGAGAACCAUGAAUAUUCGGCCCUUGUGUGUUAUGGGCAAAUUUUGUGUAUUUUGUGUUUUGUGCAAAAAAGGACUAAAUUGCAAAAAGUGCAAAAUGUUAGGGGCAAAAUGGUAAUUUUCCCAUUUAUGUAUUGUUGGACUCAAAUGAAUGUUUUGAUGAAUAAAAAGGUUAAAUUUGACUAUGUUUAGAUCAAGGAACGAAGAAAACGAAUUUGGAUCGGGGGAAGUCGAAGGUAAUCGAAUAGUCGAUCGUGUUUGCUGAUAUCCGAGGUAAGUCUAUUAGCAACUAAAAGUUAUUAAGUUAAUAUUUAUACAUGCAUACUAAUUUUAUCUUAUGAUUGAGCUAUAAUUUAAAGUAUAAUAGUUGAAUAAACUUUGGACUAUAGAUAUUGUAUAUAACAUGUUCGAAUAUAUAAGUAUGAUCUUGUAUAAAUUAUUGGAUUAAUCAAAGGUAUGUAUAAGAUAUAGGUAUAUAUAUAUAUGGUUUGAAUGAUUAUAUAAGUAUGUAUAUAUAUAUAUAAAGUCGAAUAAGCAUGCAAGUAUACAUGUAUGUGUUGUGUAUUGAAUUUAGUUAUGUCAUUAUAUAAGUAUGCGAGGAUUGAUUGUGCAUUUAUAUAUGUACAAGUUUUUGUUUUGAAAUUGAGUAUGAAAUUAUACAUUCAUAUGGUAGAUUCGAAUAUGUAUAAAUGCACAUGUAUAAAUUCUUGAAUCGAAAUUUGGUAUGGAAUUAUAUAUGUAUGUGAAAGUUUCGAUUUUGUAUGUAUAUUCACGUAAAAGUUUUUGAAUGGUAGUGAAGAUAUGAAAUUGUUAGUUUGAAUUAUUAUAAAGUGAUUGAAGUAAUUCAGACUUUAAGUCUAGCAGGCUUAAUGCCGGUGAUACAUUUCAGACUUUAAGUCUAGCAGGCUUAAUGCCGGUGAUACAUUUCAGACUUUAAGUCUAGCAGGCUUAAUGCCGGUGAUACAUUUCAGACUAUAUGUCUGGCAGGCUAAGUGCCGGUGUACUGAAUCAGGCUUUAAGCCUAGCAGGCAAAAUGCCGGUGAAUCUGUUUAAAUUGUGUUAGAAUAUGCAAUGGAUAUAUCUAUGAUUUGUGAUUAUAUGAAAUCGAUGAAUACAUAUGUACAUUAGAUAUAUGUGAUUGCUGAAUUUAUAAAUGCAUAUGAUAAUAUGUGGUAGUUAAACAUAUAUAUGUUGAGCCUAUGUGUUUGAUAAUUAAUCAUGUAUGCAUUUGAGAUAUAUAUAUAUAUGUGUGUAUUUCGAAUGUAUGUGUUACCUAGGUAUUCAGGUAUAAAUUCAUAAUGAGUAUAUUUAUAUACAAACAAAUAUAAGAUGUGAUUGAUGUAUAUAUAUUUGUGUUAGAUUUGAAUUGAUUUAGAACUUACCAUGAGUGUACAUAUACAAUCGGUUUGAUAUGUAUAUAAUAUGUAUAUAUAUGCUCGGUGGUAUACAUUCAAUUGUAAUGUUGUUUUGUAUAAUAUAUAUAUUAAACUGAAUUCAUCCGACAGGUAUACAUAUCUGACUAUAAAUGAAAUGGUCUGAGUAGAAUAAUGUAUGAAUGUUAGUUGGUUGUGUUAGUUGAAAUUUCAGUAGAAUAGAUUAAAAAGGUUAUAAUAAUUAUGUGUUUAUAAUUAUACAUUUAGUUAUGCUGGAGACUUACUAAGCUAUAAAAGCUUACUUCGUUUGCUUUCGUUCAUUCGUUUUUAUAGAUUUGGAGACGCGUUACGAGCUCGGGGAUCAUUAGCACAGUCCAUCAUACUAUCAACUUCUUUUGGUAUUUUGUUAAAUAUUUGAACUCGAUCUUAUGGCAUGUAUAGGCUUGAUAAUGUUUUGGUUAGUUUUGAAUCCUAUUGUGUAAAUAGCAAUGUGAAAAGAGUUUAGUUUCCAUGCUUGAAUUUGAUUAUAUAUGUUCAUGAAUUGGACUUGCAUUUGGAAUUAGAUAUUAAAGUUAUGUUUAUGUGAGCUUGGUUUCGAAAUGCCUCGUAACCCUGAUUCGGCGAUGGAGACGGGUUAGGGGUGUUACAUUUUAUUGGUAUCAGAGCUACGGUUUAGUCGAUUCUUGGACUAACGUAGCAUGUAUGAGUCUAGCUAUACAUGCCAUAAUUUUUAUAUCGAGAUAGUGUGAUGACUGCUGAUGUCUAAAAAUGUGUUUUCGUAUAGUAAUGGAUCCCGAUCGAGCCGUAGCCGAUGAUGUUGAGAGUAUAGCGCCUGCCCCCGCACAAAGGACAGAGCCGGUAGAUUCUCGACCGACCUCGAGUAACCAGGAGGGAGAGGCUAAACAAGCCUUCUACCAAAUGAUGAAUGACUGGUUUACUCAUUAUGUCCGAACUAAUCCGGUUACACAACAACCUCCACCCCCGACUAAUCCAUCUUCGAUUCCUGUUAUACCCCAAGUAAGUGAUCCGAUGAGAUUACUUAAGCCUCCGGUUGACAAAAUUCGAAAACACGGGGCCGAAGAGUUCAGAGCUACUGAUGAUGAUGAUGCUGAGCGAGC